UACAGAGGGGGCAAGCGUUGUUCGGGAUUACUGGGCGUAAAGGGCGCGUAGGCGGCCUUCUAAGUCGAACGUGAAAUCCCCGGGCUCAACCCGGGAACUGCGUCCGAUACUGGAAGGCUUGAAUCCGGGAGAGGGAUGCGGAAUUCCAGGUGUAGCGGUGAAAUGCGUAGAUAUAGGAAGGAACACCAGUGGCGAAGGCGACCACCUGGACUGAUACUGACACUGAGGUGCGAAAGCGUGGGGAGCAAACAGG
rnacentral:rRNA from 1 species